rnacentral:rRNA from 1 species
UACGUAGGGUGCGAGCGUUAAUCGGAAUUACUGGGCGUAAAGUGUGCGCAGGCGGCAGAGCAAGUCGAGUGUGAAAGCCACGGGCUUAACUUGGGAAUUGCGCUCGAAACUACUUUGCUGGAGUGUGGCAGAGGAAGGUGGAAUUCCACGUGUAGCGGUGAAAUGCGUAGAUAUCUGGAGGAACACCGGUGGCGAAGGCGGCAUCCUGGACCGACACUGACGCUGAGGAGCGAAAGCCAGGGGAGCAAACGGG